UACGUAGGGACCAAGCGUUGUUCGGAAUUACUGGGCGUAAAGCGUGCGCAGGCGGCGCGUUAAGACAGGUGUGAAAGCCCCGAGCUUAACUUGGGAAUUGCGCUUGUGACUGGCGUGCUGGAGUGUGGCAGAGGGAGGUGGAAUUCCACGUGUAGCAGUGAAAUGCGUAGAGAUGUGGAGGAACACCGAUGGCGAAGGCAGCCCCUCGG
rnacentral:rRNA from 1 species